AUCUGCCUGAUAGUGGGGGACAACGUUUCGAAAGGAACGCUAAUACCGCAUACGUCCUACGGGAGAAAGCAGGGGACCUUCGGGCCUUGCGCUAUCAGAUGAGCCUAGGUCGGAUUAGCUAGUUGGUGAGGUAACGGCUCACCAAGGCGACGAUCCGUAACUGGUCUGAGAGGAUGAUCAGUCACACUGGAACUGAGACACGGUCCAGACUCCUACGGGAGGCAGCAGUGGGGAAUAUUGGACAAUGGGCGAAAGCCUGAUCCAGCCAUGCCGCGUGUGUGAAGAAGGUCUUCGGAUUGUAAAGCACUUUAAGUUGGGAGGAAGGGCAUUAACCUAAUACGUUAGUGUUUUGACGUUACCGACAGAAUAAGCACCGGCUAACUUCGUGCCAGCAGCCGCGGUAAUACGAAGGGUGCAAGCGUUAAUCGGAAUUACUGGGCGUAAAGCGCGCGUAGGUGGUUUGUUAAGUUGAAUGUGAAAGCCCCGGGCUCAACCUGGGGAACUGCAUCCAAAACUGGCAAGCUAGAGUAUGGCAGAGGGGUGGUGGAAUUUCCUGUGUAGCGGUGAAAUGCGUAGAUAUAGGAAGGAACACCAGUGGGCGAAGGCGACCACCUGGGGCUAAUACUGACACUGAGGUGCGAAAGCGUGGGGAGCAAACAGGAUUAGAUACCCUGGUAGUCCACGCCGUAAACGAUGUCGACUAGCCGUUGGGAUCCUUGAGAUCUUAGUGGCGCAGCUAACGCAUUAAGUCGACCGCCUGGGGAGU
rnacentral:rRNA from 1 species